UAUAGUAACAUGUACUAGAGAUAUCGUAACGUACAUAGACAGCAGUUAAUUAUUUGUUUUAUACACAUGUCUUGCAUUGGUCGUGAAAGCUAUAAAACGUUUAUUUAAAAUGAAAAUAUCGGUCAUGAAAUGUGUAACCAAGUAAAACGUAGCUUGCCUGCAUUCGUAGGCACUUGACAACGCCAUUUCUAAGUCUGACGCAUUAUUCAAAUGUCUUAUUCAUUCUUUUGAUCAGGUGUUUGUAAGACAGUAUAGUUCAUUUUAAGCUAGUAGGCGAUUUAUAAUAGUGAGAAUUAGAGCUAGUGAUUGACGUACCGUUUAAAGUGUUCUCUUAUUCGAUCUUCACGUAUGCUAUCGGCUCUCGAAUUGACAGUGAAGCCAGCUUCGACGCGAGUUUGCCGAUAAACCCCGCCUUCUGACCGCUGCCGCGCAAAGUGGAGUGGGGUGCCCUGUCGAAAAUACGGUUAAAUUCCCAUAAUAGUAUAUGAAAAUGCCUCAAUUUCAUAUUAUAAAUAAGGAAUUAUAUUAGAAAUUUUAAAUUCUUAAGAUCUGUAAUAUAAGUGAGUUAAAUUGUG